rnacentral:tRNA from 1 species
UUAGCUCAGUUGGUUAGAGCAUGGUGCUAAUAAUGCCAAAGUCACAGGUUCUAUCCCUGUA